AGGAGGCAGGACAUGACGCAAAAAGUACGCUGCAAAAAUCGCAGUGUUUUGUUUAAAGCACAGCAACGACAGCGUACGAGGCUACCGACUCAUCCGUAAUGAUGACUGUUUUUGCGUUUAUAUUAAUGCUACGUGUAUUUGCAUGAAUCCGCAAUAUCAACAAAAGAGUGGAAAGCAAUACAGGCAGGCAGGGAAGAGUACGAAGCAGCUACACUCCGUGCACGCAGAUCCCACCGGAGAAAGAAAGCUGCAUUGUUUUGGAUCUGUGUCCAGCAGCAGCGUGAGAAGGCCAUAUGGAAGCGCGAGAGACCGAGCAGGGAAAUAUUCUGGGCAGAUGUUUUGCGGAACUUUGACGAUGUGCAGUGGAGACAUCAUUUUCGCAUGUCCCGGCGUACAUUCAAGUAUGUGUUACGUCUGGUGAAACCCGCCCUAACAUGACAGAUUACACGAUGGCGAAAACUACUUGAACCGCAUCGGAGACUGGCCAUUGUACUUUGGUGGUAUGCCACACCGAGCAAGUUUAGAACAAUAAGCUGUCUCUUCGGUGUAGGACUGUCCACUGUAUGUAGCCUAGUCUGCAAAGUUACAUCUGCUCUAAAGAACAACCUGCUCAAGCGUUUCAUUUGCCUGCCGAAAGGGGAGCGACUUCAGAAGACCCUAGAUGGAUUUGCAGAGCGAGGUUAUCCUGUGUGCAGGAGCCAUCGACAGAAGCCACAUUCCCGUUAUUGCUCCGAGGGAUGAUCCAGCUUCUUAUUCUUCUUAUCGGAAAGGAUGGUAUUUCAUUGUACUGGAAGGGGUUGUCGCACACAAUUUCUGCUUCACAGAUAUAUACGAUACGUGGGGGGGCCUGGUCGAACACAUAAUGCAAGAGUGCUUUGCAACUCUCCUAUCUUUAAGAUAGCUGAAGAGCAAGAUGGUUACUUGUUUCCCCGUGAGAAAUCCAUGACUGUGGACAGUGUGGAGGUGCCCAUCCAUCUCAUUUGAGACGCAGCUUACCCUCUGAAGAAGUGGCUAAUGAAAGGGUUCACCCAUCACCAUCACCUGACUCCCAAACAGAACACCUUCAACUACCGUUUAAGCUCUGCUCGAAUGGUGGUUGAAAAUGCAUUUGGACGUUUGAAGGGCCGUUGGAGGUGCCUUGCCAAGCGCAAUGAUGUGGAUAUCUCCAUAAUGCCUGACAUUGUUACUGCCUGAAUGGAACAUUGAUGCUGCUACUGACCUCCCACAAGAGCCUGACACAGAGGUCUUUCAUGCACCUCAGACAGCUAGCGCACAACAGAUACGAGAGGCUAUGAUGAGCAUUCUUUAAAAAAAAAAAAAGCUGAUUUUUAGAUAAAGUUCCUUCAACUUGCACUAUUUGCUGUUGUUGACUCUUUUCUAUUGAAUGGUGUCCUAGCUCAGUGUCUCUCAAUCCUUGUUCAUUUGAAUCAAGUGUGUUGGAGCAGGGAAACAUGCAGGGCAGGGGGUCCCCAGGACCAGGGUUGAGAAACACUAUAGCUUACAUGUGUCAUUUUGCAAUAUAUGUAUGUACACACAUGACUCAUACACACCAACUACUGAUUAGUCACAAUAACAGUAUUUAUUUUUGCUCUAAAU